GAUGAACGCUGGCGGCGUGCCUAAUACAUGCAAGUCGAGCGAACAGACGAGGAGCUUGCUCCUCUGACGUUAGCGGCGGACGGGUGAGUAACACGUGGAUAACCUACCUAUAAGACUGGGAUAACUUCGGGAAACCGGAGCUAAUACCGGAUAACAUGUUGAACAGCAUGGUUUAACAGUGAAAGACGGUCUUGCUGUCACUUAUAGAUGGAUCCGCGCCGCAUUAGCUAGUUGGUAAGGUAACGGCUUACCAAGGCAACGAUGCGUAGCCGACAUGAGAGGGUGAUCGGCCACACUGGAACUGAGACACGGUCCAGACUCCUACGGGAGGCAGCAGUAGGGAAUCUUCCGCGAUGGGCGAAAGCCUGACGGAGCAACGCCGCGUGAGUGAAGAAGGUCUUCGGAUCGUAAAACUCUGUUAUUAGGGAAGAACAAAUGUGUAAGUAACUAUGCACGUCUUGACGGUACCUGAUCAGAAAGCUACGGCUAACUACGUG
rnacentral:rRNA from 1 species